ensembl:lncRNA
UCUGUGUCAAUGUGACUUUGCAAGCUUUUCUAAUUUUUCAGCAACUUCCUGCCAGCUGUAGUACUGAUUCCUCUCCAGCUGAAAUAUAAGAAAUGUUGCUGCAGCCAACAAACUAAGCUAUUUCAGAAUAUUCUGUUCCAUCCAGGAUUUGUGCUUUGGCAUACUGCUUGACUGAACAUCUUCAAUCCUUGAAGGUUAUCCUUGCAUUCUUUAGUAAACUGAAUACCUUAGGGGAUGGGAGACAGUAUGGCUGAGCAGUGAAGAGAGGAGAUAAGGAGUUGGAAAAGUUGGUUCCUUCUGGGUAUUCUGCCACUGUUAUUAGGCAUCCUUUGCAGGAUGAACAAGUGGAGCAGAAUUGUUACCUGGCUGGAGAGAAAAGCUUCACAGAACUGGGUACAGACAGCAAACCUGCAAGGUUCUGAUGAUAUUAUGCCCCUGGAAAUACAGAAAUUUACCCAAAGACCUGUGUUAUCAGAGCUGAACUUGGGGCAGAGAACAAGCUAAACAAACCUAACAAUUUUGCCAAAUGUGAGUGCUCCAAUAGAAAUAUUUGUCAGUGUUUUUUGGAGGGAUACCAAUAUCCUGCAGAAUCUUCAAACAAAACUCCUCAAAUAAUUGUGACAUGGAG